rnacentral:rRNA from 1 species
UGCCAGACUCCUACGGGAGGCAGCAGUGGGGAAUAUUGGGCAAUGGGCGCAAGCCUGACCCAGCAACGCCGCGUGAAGGAAGAAGGCCCUCGGGUUGUAAACUUCUUUUAUCAGGGACGAAACAAAUGACGGUACCUGAUGAAUAAGCCACGGCUAACUACGUGCCAGCAGCCGCGGUAAUACGUAGGUGGCAAGCGUUAUCCGGAUUUACUGGGUGUAAAGGGCGUGUAGGCGGGUCUGCAAGUCAGAUGUGAAAUCCCGCGGCUCAACCGCGGAACUGCAUUUGAAACUGUUAGUCUUGAGUACCGGAGAGGUCAUCGGAAUUCCUUGUGUAGCGGUGAAAUGCGUAGAUAUAAGGAAGAACACCAGUGGCGAAGGCGGAUGACUGGACGGCAACUGACGGUGAGGCGCGAAAGCGUGGGGAGCAAACAGGAUUAGAUACCCCGGUAG